AAUGAACGCCGGCGGCGUGCCUAACACAUGCAAGUCGUGCGCGAACGGGACUUCGGUUCCUAGUAGAGCGGCGAACGGGUGAGUAACACGUGGGUAACCUGCCUGGGAGUGGGGGAUAACCUGGGGAAACUCGGGCUAAUACCGCAUACGUUCCCGGGGCUUCGGCUCCGGGAGGAAAGAUGGCCUCUGCUUGCACGCUAUCUCUCCCAGAGGGGCCCGCGGCUGAUUAGCUAGUUGGUGGGGUAAUGGCCCACCAAGGCGACGAGCAGUAGCCGGCCUGAGAGGGUGAUCGGCCACACUGGAACUGAGACACGGUCCAGACUCCUACGGGAGGCAGCAGUGGGGAAUAUUGCACAAUGGAGGAAACUCUGAUGCAGCGACGCCGCGUGAGUGAUGAAGGCCUUCGGGUCGUAAAGCUCUGUCGCAGGGGAAUAACACAAUGAAUGUACCCUGUAAGAAAGGAUCGGCUAACUUCGUGCCAGCAGCCGCCGUAACAC
rnacentral:rRNA from 1 species